rnacentral:misc_RNA from 1 species
GCUUCGGAGAUACACUAGAAGCAGAUGGAGAUGAUGAUUCGACUGAUAAUCUUGGAGGCAAAGACUCAGCCCGUGCUGAGGAAGCGACUGAUGGUAAUUCAAGAGCAGGUCUAGAUGAGCUAGAUGGAGGUGCCUCAAUCUGCUCCUUGGGUCUCCUAGUUUCAAUGCUCCUCACAAAAGAAAGCAACUUUCCCACACCAUAGUUUGUUUCAUUCUGUCUCCCUUCAAUUCUACUAAUUUUUGUCUCCAAUGAUUGGACAACAAGAUGAACUGACUGGACAUCCUCACCAAAUGUUCUCACUUUUCCUCGAAUUUCAGAAACCUCGUCUCUCGUUGCAGCAGUAUUAUCCACACAAUCAUCAAUUUUAGUAUCCACGCGAUCAAUUCGUGAAGCUAAAUGGCGCUUUGUGGCAGAAAUAGAUGUGUAUACACUCUCAAGCUGUUUGGACACACUACCACAUGCAUCAGAUAAGCUCCGCCUGGUCGCAAACAUAAAUU